GACGAACGCUGGCGGCGUGCUUAACACAUGCAAGUCGAACGGAAAGGCCCUGCUUUUGUGGGGUGCUCGAGUGGCGAACGGGUGAGUAACACGUGAGUAACCUGCCCUUGACUUUGGGAUAACUUCAGGAAACUGGGGCUAAUACCGGAUAGGAGCUCCUGCUGCAUGGUGGGGGUUGGAAAGUUUCGGCGGUUGGGGAUGGACUCGCGGCUUAUCAGCUUGUUGGUGGGGUAGUGGCUUACCAAGGCUUUGACGGGUAGCCGGCCUGAGAGGGUGACCGGCCACAUUGGGACUGAGAUACGGCCCAGACUCCUACGGGAGGCAGCAGUGGGGAAUAUUGCACAAUGGGCGGAAGCCUGAUGCAGCAACGCCGCGUGCGGGAUGACGGCCUUCGGGUUGUAAACCGCUUUCGCCUGUGACGAAGCGUGAGUGACGGUAAUGGGUAAAGAAGCACCGGCUAACUACGUGCCAGCAGCCGCGGUGAUACGUAGGGUGCGAGCGUUGUCCGGAUUUAUUGGGCGUAGAGGGCUCGUAGGUGGUUGAUCGCGUCGGAAGUGUAAUCUUGGGGCUUAACCCUGAGCGUGCUUUCGAUACGGGUUGACUUGAGGAAGGUAGGGGAGAAUGGAAUUCCUGGUGGAGCGGUGGAAUGCGCAGAUAUCAGGAGGAACACCAGUGGCGAAGGCGGUUCUCUGGGCCUUUCCUGACGCUGAGGAGCGAAAGCGUGGGGAGCGAACAGGCUUAGAUACCCUGGUAGUCCACGCUGUAAACGGUGGGUACUAGGUGUGGGGUCCAUUCCACGGGUUCCGUGCCGUAGCUAACGCUUUAAGUACCCCGCCUGGGGAGUACGGCCGCAAGGCUAAAACUCAAAGGAAUUGACGGGGCCCCGCACAAGCGGCGGAGCAUGCGGAUUAAUUCGAUGCAACGCGUAGAACCUUACCUGGGUUUGACAUGGAUCGGGAGUGCUCAGAGAUGGGUGUGCCUCUUUUGGGGUCGGUUCACAGGUGGUGCAUGGCUGUCGUCAGCUCGUGUCGUGAGAUGUUGGGUUAAGUCCCGCAACGAGCGCAACCCUUGUUCACUGUUGCCAGCACGUUAUGGUGGGGACUCAGUGGAGACCGCCGGGGUCAACUCGGAGGAAGGUGGGGAUGACGUCAAGUCAUCAUGCCCCUUAUGUCCAGGGCUUCACGCAUGCUACAAUGGCUGGUACAGAGAGUGGCGAGCCUGUGAGGGUGAGCGAAUCUCGGAAAGCCGGUCUCAGUUCGGAUUGGGGUCUGCAACUCGACCUCAUGAAGUCGGAGUCGCUAGUAAUCGCAGAUCAGCAACGCUGCGGUGAAUACGUUCCCGGGGCU
rnacentral:rRNA from 1 species